GACGAACGCUGGCGGCGUGCUUAACACAUGCAAGUCGAACGGAAAGGCCCUGCUUUUGUGGGGUGCUCGAGUGGCGAACGGGUGAGUAACACGUGAGUAACCUGCCCUUGACUUUGGGAUAACUUCAGGAAACUGGGGCUAAUACCGGAUAGGAGCUCCUGCUGCAUGGUGGGGGUUGGAAAGUUUCGGCGGUUGGGGAUGGACUCGCGGCUUAUCAGCUUGUUGGUGGGGUAGUGGCUUACCAAGGCUUUGACGGGUAGCCGGCCUGAGAGGGUGACCGGCCACAUUGGGACUGAGAUGCGGCCCGGACUCCUACGGGAGGCAGCAGUGGGGAAUAGUGCACAAUGGGCGGAAGCCUGAUGCAGCAACGCCGCGUGCGGGAUGACGGCCUUCGGGUUGUAAACCGCUUUCGCCUGUGACGAAGCGUGAGUGACGGUAAUGGGUAAAGAAGCACCGGCUAACUACGUG
rnacentral:rRNA from 1 species